rnacentral:rRNA from 1 species
ACGGAAGGCAGCAGUGAGGAAUAUUGGUCAAUGGACGGAAGCCUGAACCAGCCAAGUCGCGUGAAGGAUGAAGGUAUUAUGUAUUGUAAACUUCUUUAGCAGUGGAGUAAUAAGGGGAUCGUGAUCCCUGAUGCAAGUACACUGAAAAUAAGGAUCGGCUAACUCCGUGCCAGCAGCCGCGGUAGUACGAAGGAUCCGAGCGUUAUCCGGAUUUAUUGGGUUUAAAGGGUGCGCAGGCGGCCCUGUAAGUCAGCGGUUAAAUCGUGGAGCUCAACUCCAUCCCGCCGUUGAUACUGCAGGGCUUGAUUGCGGUCGAGGUUGGCGGAAUUCGUCGUGUAGCGGUGAAAUGCAUAGAUAUGACGAAGAACACCGAUUGCGUAGGCAGCUGACCAGGCCGUAAAUGACGCUCAUGCACGAAAGUGCGGGGAUCGAACAGGAUUAGAUACCCUGGUA